rnacentral:tRNA from 1 species
GCGGGCAUAGUACAAAGGCUAGUAUGCAAGCCUUCCAAGCUUGAAAUGCGGGUUCGAGUCCCGCUGCCCGCACCA